rnacentral:rRNA from 1 species
CAUGCAAGUCGAACGGUAACGCGGAGAGAAGCUUGCUUCUCUCCGGCGACGAGUGGCGAACGGGUGAGUAAUACAUCGGAACGUGUCCGCUCGUGGGGGACAACCAGCCGAAAGGUUGGCUAAUACCGCAUGAGUUCUACGGAAGAAAGAGGGGGACCCGCAAGGGCCUCUCGCGAGCGGAGCGGCCGAUGACUGAUUAGCCGGUUGGUGAGGUAACGGCUCACCAAAGCAACGAUCAGUAGCUGGUCUGAGAGGACGACCAGCCACACUGGGACUGAGACACGGCCCAGACUCCUACGGGAGGCAGCAGUGGGGAAUUUUGGACAAUGGGCACAAGCCUGAUCCAGCUAUUCCGCGUGUGGGAUGAAGGCCCUCGGGUUGUAAACCACUUUUGUAGAGAACGAAAAGACACCUUCGAAUAAAGGGUGUUGCUGACGGUACUCUAAGAAUAAGCACCGGCUAACUACGUGCCAGCAGCCGCGGUAAUACGUAGGGUGCAAGCGUUAAUCGGAAUUACUGGGCGUAAAGGGUGCGCAGGCGGUUGAGUAAGACAGAUGUGAAAUCCCCGAGCUUAACUCGGGAAUGGCAUAUGUGACUGCUCGACUAGAGUGUGUCAGAGGGAGGUGGAAUUCCACGUGUAGCAGUGAAAUGCGUAGAUAUGUGGAAGAACACCGAUGGCGAAGGCAGCCUCCUGGGGCAUAACUGACGCUCAGGCACGAAAGCGUGGGGAGCAAACAGGAUUAGAUACCCUGGUAGUCCACGCCCUAAACGAUGUUAACUAGUUGUUGGGAAGUAAAAUUCUCAGUAACGCAGCCA